UUAGGGUUAAUAAGGUUCAGUUGUUGUAAUCACGGUGUGUGUUUUCUAGCGUUGUUUGUGAGAAUUUAGUUUUAGGUUAAUUGGGUUGUUUUUCUAUUUGUUUGUUUAUUGACUUCAAUCUAACAUAUGUUACUUCAUUUUGUUUCGUUACUGGCAAUGGUACUUCGUUUUCUUAUUGAGUUGUUUGGUUUCUUUCACACUUAGUGAAGAGGAACUCCAAGAGCUGAGAGGGACUAAUUUAUAUCGAGCAACUGAGUUACAGAAGAAAAGCCUGUUGAAUUUGUAUGAAACAAAAGUGAAGGAUUUAGCGAAGAAACUUUUAGAUCUUGACGGAGAUUCUGAGAUGUAUGUGUUGGGUAAAAUUGAAGCAAGGUUACGCAAUCAGAUGAUCUAUCCAAGGGUGCGAAUUUUGAUCGAUGGCUGAAAUUCAGAAUUCAAACCGCAGACAAGUCAUAUUUCUAAGAUGGUGAAGAUUCUAAGAGAGCAAGUUGUAAACUAGAUAGAAAACAAGUACAACUGUCGGGCACAGUGAUGGAGAAAUCUAGAGGAAUUGCAAAAUUACUCAUGGAUCAACUAGACCUCGCAAACCAAGAGUAUAACUGAUGAAGCAUUUAACGAAAUGAUGCACUCUGCAAGACUUCAUGGUUGUCUUUGUUAAAAGCAUGUUUGAUUUGGGCAUGUCUUGUGUUGGGAAGGAGUUUGUUAAAGAUGCUUCCACCGAAACUAUUUGAUGAUAUUUUGGCAUCUUGAAAGUAUGGUUAGCUCUUAUCUCUAUCUCUAGUUAGUUUUAUAAAAUGAUUCAAAAUCAAAACAGGUGGUAACAUGAUUUGAAACCUUGUUUAUACAAGUAGUGAGUGUUUUAAUGUGUAUGGUAGAAAUUUCAGUCACAGUUUAUGUAUUGGAGGAGAUAGGAAAAACAAUGAUAUUCUUAAAAUGUAUUGGAAUGAAGAAGAAGAGAGGUUUUAGCUCGAUUGAACCGUAAGUUUAAAGCUUACCAUGGUUAUUACAUUCAUAAAUAUUGGCUUGCUAUAUUGGACUUACUCUUUUCUACUUACUAUGUACCCUGUGACGUGGACGAAUUGUUUCGUAGGAUGACCAAAAUCCUCUCUUGAAAUUAAUGUUGCUAGAAAAUCUGUUAAAGCAUUUUGAUGCAACUGGGGAUUUUUUUAUCAAACCUUGUAUCCUUAAGAAGCCAAUAUUUUUCACACAUAUUUUAAAAAUGUUCUGCUCUCUUCAUAUCUCUGAUGGAAAUUCAUUUUUCACGGUUGUAAUUUUUGUUGCUAUCUGUUAGGUGCUGGAUUAGUAAGUCUAAUAUUAUAAUUUACCAUGAUAUUGUAUUUACUAAUCUUGCUUUAACUAGUAAUAUAGGAUGUUAUGUGCGAAGAAAAAAGGUUUCUUGGUUUUCUUAUAUUACUCUAUGCUAACAUGUUCGAUAAACAGGAGAAUAGUAAAAGCAAGUUUAGAACAAGGUCAUGAAACCUAUGUUCUUCAACGUCCAGACAUAGGUCUUGAUACUGAGAAAGUGCAAAUACUUCUUUCAUUCAAGAAACAAGGUUAUAAACCCUCUUUGGCCAUGAAGAGAUCUUUGAAAAGAAUCAAUUUAGGGAAGGUUGUACCCACUGGCUGUUUGAGACUAAACCGCAACCAUAUACUAUACCUUUGAACUCAUUAGUCAUGGUGUAAAACUAUUAGUAGCUCUGUAUUUGGUUUUGUCUUCACACUAGAAGUACAUUUAUGAUACUUUCAUGAUCGCAUAAUCUAAUGCUAGAAUUGUAUUUAUAAAACAUGGUUGAUCCUAAAUAAAUGCUAGAAUUGUAUUUA